rnacentral:misc_RNA from 1 species
CCAGCCCUGACAAUGAUGCCAUGAUUGGAAAUAAAAACAGAGUUAAAGCAGUGCGGCCUUCAGCUUUGAAGAAUCAUUAUUCUAUACAAAGUAGACAUGCAGANNNNUGCCGCAAGUCAAGCCGUUGAUGGAAGUCAUCUGAGCACAAGGAAGUCCAAAGACACUAUUGAUAAUAAUCUUGAAGGAAAGAAAACGCCAACUACUGCAAUAUCAAUAGUGUCUUUGGACUUCCUUGUG